rnacentral:lncRNA from 10 species
CGGCCUCCACUUGGAGGCGGCCAUGAUCCCUGUACAUGUGGUACCUGGAGGCUGCCAUGACACUGGUAAACGUGGUGACAAGGAAAAGAGCGGGAGACGCCAUUUUCAAUAUUCCUGGCUUCCAGGUAGUAGGAAUCACAGCCACUUGUGAGCUACUUUGAAGAGUUGCAGAUCCCUCCUCUUCCUCUCUACCCAUAGACAAGCUGCAAGGCUAGUACUCUCAGACACAGUGGAAGAAGAAGGAGAGAAGCUGAGAAGGUUACAAGGUUUUGCAGUAAGUCUGUCCCAAACUAGAAUUAGAAUACUUGUCUCCUCUUUGAAGUGAUUGUUAUUUUCGCAGUGCCAUGCUCUCUCUCUCUACACUCUGUCAUUUGCAAGAUAAAUAUCAUCUAAUUCCACUUGGUUGGCAACCAGUGAUAUCAAAAGGGGAGACAGAGUCCCACCUAGGUUCACAUCUCA